GAUCUUCAGUUUAUCUCAACACUUUGAUCUUACAAAAGUGCAGUGAGUCUGAUGGGCAUGUCUGGACAGGACUACCAGCCCCAUGGGCUUUUUGAAGGUGGAUGAGUGUCAAAUUAUUGUCUGCAUCUGAGAAGGCAGGGGCAUUCUUUUCAGACUCAUCCUGGUUUAAUAGUAUGCUAUCAAACACCCCUGAUACUAUAAUUUGUCCAUAAGAUCCAUCAUUAAUUCCACUCCUGCAGGAUGCAAACAGGACUGCUACCUCUCCUGCAGCGUUGCAACAGAUGAGGCAGGAAAAGCGCCCGAGAGCUCUCCUUGGCCUUUUCUCCUCCCAUCUCCUCAACGUACAAAGGGGCUCUGUGAUUGGCUGCAUCUCUGCGACGCGGACCUACGAUGUAAUGAUCCUGUCACCUCAAUAUGUUUUCAUGUUAUGCAUAAAAAACUAA